rnacentral:lncRNA from 1 species
CAUGUUUCUUCACAUCAAGUAGCACAAAAAUGCCAACACGUAUUUACAGUGUGGAACAUCGAACAUUGAGCAUGGCAUAGGAGGCUUGCUGAAAAUGGGUUUAGUUCCUAUAUAACAGAGUGGCUUUAGCAUGGCUCUAAACGGCUCCUUCAUCAUGCUGAGUUAUUUACAGACUUACUUUCUUUGGGCCACUGACUGACAGAUGGGAUAAGAUAAUGAGUACAACUUGAGAAAUGUUACCUUUUUUAGACUAGACUCAUAACUGCUGCUGAUGGGUUAAAAGGUUUAAAAAUAUAAGCACAAAUGAAAGUGCACCCUAGGGUGCAUCUAUAUCUAGGUAUUCUAGCAAGACUCUAUGUCAAUGUCUGCUAGAAGUUGAUCAUAAAGUCACACUGAAUGGAAUGAAAAUUGUCUCAAGGUCAGAAAGGAGGAGGAAGAACAACACUCAUUCCUUCAUAGUCUUCAGCAUGCGGGAUUGGUAAGCAUUUCCCCCUUUUUCUUUGGUACCUGUUUAAAAGCAAAUUAGCUUGUUGAAGUU